AAUGAACGUUGGCGGCAUGGAUUAGGCAUGCAAGUCGAGCGAGAAGAGUUUUGAAGCUUGCUUUAGAACUCGGACAGCGGCGAAAGGGAGGGUAACGCGCAGUUAUGUGCCCUAGGGUCCGGAAUAGCCACGGGAAACUGUGGGUAAUGCCGGAUAAUAUCCCCGGAUCAAAGGUGUGAUUCCGCGCUAGGAGCAGACUGCGUCCUACUAGCUGGUUGGUGGGGUAAUGGCCCACCAAGGCAAUGAUGGGCAGCGGGUGUGAGAGCAUGACCCGUCUCACUGGGACUGAGACACUGCCCAGACACCUACGGGUGGCUGCAGUCGAGAAUCUUCGGCAAUGGGCGAAAGCCUGACCGAGCGAUGCCGCGUGCGGGAUGAAGGCCCUCGGGUUGUAAACCGCUGUCGUAGGGGAGGAAGGUUCCGUGAAGAGCGGGACUUGACCUAUCCUAGGAGGAAGUACGGGCUAAGUUCGUGCCAGCCGCCGCGGUAAUAC
rnacentral:rRNA from 1 species